rnacentral:rRNA from 1 species
GUAGGGAAUAUUGGGCAAUGGUCGGAAGACUGACCCAGCCAUGCCGCGUGCAGGAAGACGGCCCUCUGGGUUGUAAACUGCUUUUAUCUGGGAAGAAAAAGGCCAUGCGUGGCAAAUUGCCGGUACCAGAUGAAUAAGCACCGGCUAACUCCGUGCCAGCAGCCGCGGUAAUACGGAGGGGGCGAGCGUUGUCCGGAUUUAUUGGGUUUAAAGGGUGCGUAGGCGGCUGAUUAAGUCAGCGGUGAAAGACUUCGGCUUAACCGGAGCAGUGCCGUUGAUACUGGUUGGCUUGAGUGUCGGAGGGGUACAUGGAAUUGAUGGUGUAGCGGUGAAAUGCAUAGAUACCAUCAGGAACACCGAUAGCGAAGGCAUUGUACUGGCCGACAACUGACGCUGAUGCACGAAAGUGUGGGGAUCGAACAGGAUUAGAUACCCGAGUAGUCC